CGUGUAGGCGGUCUGUUAAGUCAUGUGUGAAAUCCCUCGGCUCAACCGGGGAACGACGCAUGAAACUGGCAAGCUAGAGUACCAAAGAGGGGGGUGGAAUUCCCGGUGUAGCGGUGAGAUGCGUAGAUAUCGGGAGGAACACCGGUGGCGAAGGCGGCCCCCUGGUUGGAUACUGACGCUGAGACGCGAAAGCGUGGGGAGCAAACAGGGUUAGAUACCCUGGUAGUCCACGCUGUAAACGAUGGGCACUAGGUGUCCGGGGUAUUGACCCCCUGGGUGCCGCAGCUAACGCAUUAAGUGCCCCGCCUGGGGAGUACGGUCGCAAGAUUAAA
rnacentral:rRNA from 1 species